UACGAAGGGGGCUAGCGUUGUUCGGAAUUACUGGGCGUAAAGCGCGCGCAGGUGGUCUUUCAAGUCAGUGGUGAAAGCCCGGAGCUCAACUCCGGAAAUGCCGUUGAAACUGUAAGACUUGAGGAUGAGAGAGGUGAGUGGAAUUCCCAGUGUAGAGGUGAAAUUCGUAGAUAUUGGGAAGAACACCGGUGGCGAAGGCGGCUCACUGGCUCAUAUCUGACGCUCAGGCGCGACAGCGUGGGGAUCAAACAGG
rnacentral:rRNA from 1 species